GAAGCUUUAGAUGGAUUGUUGAGUUAGUUGAGCACUAUUCCCAGUUUCCUCUUUUGGUAUGUACGGGUCCGGAUUGAAGUCCCAACUCGUCCACUUGCCUUAAAAUAGAAUGAACGGGACAGAAACUCGGUUUUGUUGGUGCUUGUUCGUUGAUGCACUCCACAUAAUAAAUAGUUGGGAAGAAGGAAGAAGACUGAAGCAGAAAGAAGGGAGCAAGCCAGACAGCAGAGAUUCAGAAUGUACAGGGACGUGUCUGCUUGCAAUACUUACAACUAUGGGGACGCCUUGUAUUGGAACAGCCGGUACCUGCAAGAGGCCGGAUCCUUCGAUUGGUACCAGCGUUACACGGCUCUGCGUCCCUUUGUCCGGAAAUAUAUCCCCACGUCUUCUCGUGUUCUCAUGGUCGGAUGCGGCAAUGCUGUUAUGUCAGAAGAUAUGGUCAAGGAUGGGUAUGAAGACAUAAUGAAUAUUGAUAUUUCAUCUGUGGCCAUUGACAUGAUGAAAAGGAAAUACGAGUAUAUACCUCAGCUGAAAUACAUGCAAAUGGAUGCCAGAGAUAUGAGCUUCUUUCCAGAUGAAUCAUUUGACAGUGUCCUUGAUAAAGGAACCCUUGAUUCUUUGAUGUGUAGUAAUAAUGCUCAAAUUAGUGCUGCCCAAAUGCUGGGAGAAGUUAGCAGGCUUCUUAAACCUGGGGGAGUUUAUAUGUUGAUAACCUAUGGUGAUCCAACAGUAAGGAUUCCUCAUCUGAAUAAGCCUGCAUUCAAUUGGAAAAUAACAUUGUACAUUAUACCCAGACCAGGAUUUGAAAGGCCUGCUGGUUGUAGUUCAUCAUGGAAAUCAUUCCUGGAACCUGUUCCUCUGACAGAGAGGGGUCUUCUCCCAGCAGAUUUUGUUAUGGAAGAUCCAGAUUCUCACUUUAUAUACCUGUGCCAAAAAAUGGAUGAGACAAUGGAUCUAGGCCAUGCAAUCAUCCAUCCAGUGCCAUGACAUGUACAAGGACGAUUUUCUUCCCAACUUUUAUGAUUGGCGUUGGCGUUGGCGUGGUUUGGAGAUGUGUAAAAUGCAAGAAGUUAACUGAAUCACGUAGGGAACUGGUUUUAUUACCACAGUACAUAAGUUCUGUAUGGAGGUUUGCUUGGACCAGAGUCUAGAGAUGGCUUUAAACACAUGACUUUCACAAGCUAUAUCCACUUACCAAUGACUAAUGGCUUGGUGAUGGUAACACGGAAGGAAUGGUCUAAGGAGGAUGUGAUCAAAUUUCAUUAUUGAAUCAGGAAUCAAUACUUAGUCCAAUCUUAUAGUGGAAGUUCUCAAAUGUCUACAAGAAGAACCGGAUUUGAGAAGAGUUUUGUAGAUGGUUGAAUGCAUCCAUUUUCUGCAUUGGAUGGAGAGUCCGAUGCUUAUUCUAAACUUGGAGAAUCCAAUGAACUGUUAGGAUGCAAAGGAGAAUCGCAUCCAUCACGUAUAUACAAGAGGGCCUAAUAA